UCUCCCUUCGUUUUCCGCGAGUUUCUCGGUCUCCGUCUCAGACCCAUAGGAGUCGUCUUCUCUCUUUUUGGGCCAACGGCAUCGUACACACACACACACACACACACGCUACCGCCACCAUCACCACCACCUCUUCCUCUCGAAAGGCCUUAGCGAAUGGCGUCUGCAGUGGACAGCAAAACCGCCAGCUCUUACCCGCUCGGCGGCACGGUAAGUAAGGCACUGCUGAUCGUCACGCCCGCCUUCGCUCGCAGGCAAGACUUUGUGCAGUACCUCAGGUAUAAGCUCUACGAUGCCGGCUUCAUCGUUGUGCGUGAAGAGCUGCGCCUGUUGAACUGCGAAAUGGCAGAGAAGAUGGCGAUUGAGCUGGACCGGUCGCUUGUGCCACCGGCUGUGGUGCCUCCUGCACAGGCGGUGGCUGAUGGUGCGCCGACGUCAACCGGCUUUCCCACGUCACUGCUGCCGGCGGCGCAUGACCUGGUAGGCACGGCAUAUGUUUUUGUCCUGGCUCGCACAAAGUGCCAUGAGCUGCUGCAGUCCUUCAUCGAGACACAGCUGUUCGGCGAGGACGCCGAUGCGCUGGACGCGUUCCUGGGGGAGCAUCAUGUGCAGGGUCGCAAGCUGCCCCUCUGGACGUCGCUGACGGCGAACGGCGCAAAGAAGUCUGUUGCACUGCUGUUCCCUCGCAUGCUGGCCGAGGAUGUGCCGACGUCGGCCGUGUCGCGGGAGUACGUGCAGGCAAAUCUGAAGCAGGCACUGGUGCCCACCUUGGCGGCUCUGGCCAAGCAGAAGCCGGAGAACCCGCUGCGGUGGCUGGCGAUGCAGCUGCUCACGAACAACACGCAGGCCCCGCCGAUGAUUUUGAGCCCUUCCUAGCCUGCGAGGUGUGUCUCUAGGUGCGAUGCAGGCCCAUGUCUUGUCCUCCGACUCUGUCUAUCAGCCGCAGUGGCAGCGGGGCCCCACAUACGUGACGCCCUCCCUGCGUCUUGCUCACGUUCCCUUUCUUUAUGUAAAUCAGAAGCGCCCAUCACACGCGCACCG
rnacentral:misc_RNA from 1 species